GCAGUCGAGCGAGCGGAACAACAGAUUUACUUCGGUAAUGACGUUGGGAAAGCGAGCGGCGGAUGGGUGAGUAACACGUGGGGAACCUGCCCCUAAGUCUGGGAUACCAUUUGGAAACAGGUGCUAAUACCGGAUAAUAAAGCAGAUCGCAUGAUCAGCUUUUGAAAGGCGGCGUAAGCUGUCGCUAAGGGAUGGCCCCGCGGUGCAUUAGCUAGUUGGUAAGGUAACGGCUUACCAAGGCGACGAUGCAUAGCCGAGUUGAGAGACUGAUCGGCCACAUUGGGACUGAGACACGGCCCAAACUCCUACGGGAGGCAGCAGUAGGGAAUCUUCCACAAUGGACGCAAGUCUGAUGGAGCAACGCCGCGUGAGUGAAGAAGGUUUUCGGAUCGUAAAGCUCUGUUGUUGGUGAAGAAGGAUAGAGGUAGUAACUGGCCUUUAUUUGACGGUAAUCAACCAGAAAGUCACGGCUAACUACGUGCCAGCAGCCGCGGUAAUACGUAGGUGGCAAGCGUUGUCCGGAUUUAUUGGGCGUAAAGCGAGCGCAGGCGGAAAAAUAAGUCUAAUGUGAAAGCCCUCGGCUUAACCGAGGAACUGCAUCGGAAACUGUUUUUCUUGAGUGCAGAAGAGGAGAGUGGAACUCCAUGUGUAGCGGUGGAAUGCGUAGAUAUAUGGAAGAACACCAGUGGC
rnacentral:rRNA from 1 species